rnacentral:misc_RNA from 1 species
AAGUCGUAACAAGGUUUCCGUAGGUGAACCGUGCGGAAUGGAUCAUUACAAAGUAAAUGCUUGGUGGGAAGUGGGGUUCUUGAUCUGUAAGUGGUACGAGCGAACAGGUCCGCUGCCUCCCGAAAUGUUUACAUGUCCCCCACAGCCUGAAGCCGAUUACAACCCUUGAUUAUCUACACUUGUUGCUUUUGGGGGUGCUCAAGUGCCCCAGAGGACCCAACACUCUUGCAUUUAAGUGACGUCUGAGUACUAUAUAAUUAUUUAAAA